rnacentral:misc_RNA from 1 species
UGCAGGCUAUCACUGGUCAGCUCCUCUUAAAUGUAUUAGCGGAACUCUAUGCAGUACCGGCUUCAGUUUGAUAAUCCUAUCUAUGCUGUCGCUGUGAACUGUGCUUGUUUGGCUUAUAACUGUCCUUUGCUGGACUACCAUUCACUUGGUAUAAUUUUAAGCUUAACCUCAAAUCAGGUAGGACUACCCGCUGAACUUAA